CGAUCCGCCUUUCGAUGUCCAGCGUCACGCAGCUCGCGGCGCCCGGCUUCUCCGGCGUCAUCCGUGUCACCUUCCUACCCGACGAGGCCAUGGAGACAGUCCUUGACCUGCACAGUGGCUGCUUCCUGACGGCCGGGAGGCCGCGCUGAACCGUCCCUUCUCCAACGAGGCCAUGGGUUGUGGACUAUUUGUGUUAGUAGCGCGAAGUAUUGUCUAGCAGUCCAAGCCCAUUCGAAGUGAUCUGCCUCUGGUCUAUCUCACGCACCGGAACUCCUAAUGGAAACAUGGGAAUAUAGAGUCUCGAUUGCCGGCGGGCAGUGGACAACGGCUAAUGAUGGUGUUUGCGGCGCAAACAUGCGGUGGGGUGGCUUUGGGAAAAGUAGAACAGAGGCACUGGCUGUGGUUAAGCAGAAGCAGCCAAGCAGGGGCAUGCCAUGCAGUCGUUUGGAAGACUGAGAGGAAGGGAAUGGAGCAGAAUCUUAUCAGAGAUUUGACUCACUUAAUAGUGGCACUGUAUCAUACUUGAGUCAAAAUGUUGGUGUGAAUUUUGUGGAAGGAGAGCCUGAUGUAAUGCCAUGGGAGCCGAACAAUUGAUGAAAACUAAUGGAUCCUGGCAACACAUGGAUGUGUUAAUCAUCUACUUUUUCCAUGACGCAGUGUAACUGUGGACAUUUCGAUCACUGGUAGCUGGAUGGUGUCAAAUUUUCGAAGUGAAGUGGGUAAUUCAAAGUUUUCUAUCAGCAGGCAUCUCUAUUAUUUUCUGCUACAAAACUAAGUUUCAGUGGUAUAAAAACAUGUGUUCUCUGAAAUACCUAUAAUUUGACCAAGCUGUUAGGCUGUGUAAAAAGUUCGAUGGCCUUAAGAGCUUGCAAACUGUAGACAAGAAGAUCAAGCUGGUCCAAGGUGCAUAUGGAUCUCCAUUUCUGUCUAAGAUUGAAUGACGGAAGGUACGAUUGAUAAAUCGACGAUUACUGACAUUUCCGGUCUACCCAGAGCCAUAGUGCCCGAGUUCAAGGUGAACAAGGUGAGUGCGAAACGCAGACGUGCUGAUAUAUUUUUUUGCAGUCGUAUAUGUUUUAUUUGUUUUCUCCUUAUUUCUUUGAUUUCCUCUACCUAUGAUAUUUUUGGUACUACACAACCUGGUUGUGUUUCUACUAAUUUAUUAUGAUCUACUUGGCUUCCUGAAUAGUAGCAUAUAUGGAAGCAUGAUGAAUUUAGUAUGUAGUGCUAUUCUUUGUUAAAGUAUGUAUUCGUUCUUAGUGAGCCUGUGAAUGUGGUUAUCAUCAUGACCAAACGUUAAUUAUGACAGGGAUACUAAGAAAAUCGAACUGAAGAUAAUGUUAAUGAGAUGGCAGAGGAAGAUGCUAAGUCUACUUCAUAUUGAUUAUUGGGCGGUUGAUUGCUUUAUGAAUUAAAACGGAAAUCAAUUUUUCAUUCUGUCCAUAUUCAAGAAAAACCCAUAAGGUUCAGAGGUUGCAUUUGUGUACUCAUCCAGUAAUAAUGCGUAGAUGAUAACUCUCAAAAUUAUUGUGCUCUUAUGUUAGUUCAUCUUCCUGAUCGUUGAACUUCAAGGAUUCUUUACUCUUGAUCUUUUACAUUUUUAUAUAUGGAUGGGUAUCUUCCU